UAAAAUUUCUUCUUCUUUAAGGCGCAUUCUACCUCGUGAUUCGUGAAUGAAAUCACAUAGCAAUCCUCGCCGCGCCCGACUCCGAUAUGAACAUAAACGGUUCUUCCCGUUUCCGCCACCGGAAAACGCCGUCGAUCGACCGAUUCCUCAGCGCCUACCCCCAACAGAACACGGACACCGCCACCGCCACCUCCAAGAACGAAGAAAACGAGCUCAACGAAGACGAUAUAUUCUCAACCGGCGACUUUUCCGAAGCUUCCAACAACCUCCAUCACCACCACAAUAGCCCUCCAUCCACCACCUCCUCCCCGCGCCACAACCAGCUCCAUUCCCAUACCUAUAAAGCCUUCCCCCAGCUGGAAUCUUUCGGCAUCCUGGCGGCCCUUCCGGAGCACAAAACCAACUCCCACCACCAUUUGUACCAGAAAACAGCGCUUUCUUCGCCCUCGUCAUCCACCUCGUCCUCCUCAACGACCUCCUCUUCUCGUUUCAUUCCUUCUAUCCCUAA
rnacentral:misc_RNA from 1 species